rfam:Picea glauca, whole genome shotgun sequence.
GAAACGGUGUCUUUAGACACCACCAAUCUCCUUGGAGUAUUGUUU